rnacentral:tRNA from 1 species
UGGGGUAUAGCUCAGUGGUAGCGUACUCACCUUGCACACAGGAGGCUUGGGUUCAAUCUCCAGCACUACAA